UGAGUAACGCGUGAGUAACCUGCCUUACAGAGGGGGACAACAGUUGGAAACGACUGCUAAUACCGCAUAAGCGCACAGCAUCGCAUGAUGCAGUGUGAAAAACUCCGGUGGUAUGAGAUGGACCCGCGUUGGAUUAGCUAGUUGGAGGGGGUAACGGCCCACCAAGGCGACGAUCCAUAGCCGACCUGAGAGGGGUUGACCGGCCACAUUGGGACUGAGACACGGCCCAGACUCCUACGGGAGGCAGCAGUGAGGAAUAUUGGGCAAUGGGCGCAAGCCUGACCCAGCAAUGCCGCGUGAAGGAAGACGGUUUUCGGAUUGUAAACUUCUUUUAAGAGGGACGAUAAUGACGGUACCUCUUGAAUAAGCCACGGCUAACUACGUG
rnacentral:rRNA from 1 species